rnacentral:rRNA from 1 species
GAUUUCUGGUUGGAUGUGUUUAGCCCGCCAUGGUUUCAUGUGUGAGUGCUGAUACUCAUCUACCUUCCUUCUAGAUAGUCAAUUCUUCUCUUCAUUGAGGGGAAUUUGGCACUAGAUCUUUUACUUUGAAAAAAUUAGAGUGUUUCAAGCAGGCGUUUGCUUUGAAUACAUUAGCAUGGAAUAAUAAGUUAGGACUUCGGUUCUAUUUUGUUGGUUUCUAGAGCUGAAGUAAUGAUUGAUAGGGAUAGUUGGGGGUGCUAGUAUUCAGUGGCCAGAGGUGAAAUUCUCGGAUUCCCUGAAGACUAACUUAUGCGAAAGCAUU